UACGAAGGGUGCAAGCGUUGUUCGGAUUUAUUGGGCGUAAAGCGCGCGCAGGCGGAUCCCUAAGUCAGGUGUGAAAUCUCUGGGCUCAACCCAGAAAGUGCGCCUGAAACUAUGGAUCUAGAAUACCGGAGAGGGAAGGGGAAUUUCUCAUGUAGGGGUAAAAUCCGUAGAUAUGAGAAGGAACACCGGAGGCGAAGGCGCCUUCCUGGAAGGUCAUUGACGCUGAGGCGCGAAAGCGUGGGGAGCAAACAGG
rnacentral:rRNA from 1 species